UGGCUCUGGCAUCGAUGAAGAACGCAGCGAAAUGCGAUACGUGAUGCGAAUUGCAGAAUCCACGAGUCAUCGAAUCUUUGAACGCACAUUGCGCCUGCUGGUAAUCCGGCAGGCAUGCCUGUCCGAGCGUCAUUUCCACCCUCGGGCUCUGGUCUGUCGACCGGGUCCUGGUGUUGGAGAUCUGCCCCUCUCCCGCGGCAGUCUCCGAAAAGCAGCGGCGGACUGUCCCGUUCCCGAGCGCAGUCAAUGUCUAGCUCGGGGUUUCGCGUGGCGGCCAUCCAGCCUUACACGUCAGCCGCGCGCGCGCCGCGCGGCCGGCUCCCUAGCCCUCGGCUACUGUGAACGACCUCGGAUAGGUAGGACUACCCGCUGA
rnacentral:misc_RNA from 1 species